GGGGGGGGGGGGGGAGGAGGCAGGGGUGAGGGGUGGAAGGAAACCUGCAGCUGUGUCCCUUUUCAUGCUUCGUGGUUUCUGAAUUAAGCUACUGUAUGCUCCUUAAAAAACUGGAUCUUCAAGAAGAACUGGGGCUGGACAGAUUCCCAGGGUGAAUUGGAAAGGGAGGGUUCCCUCUGGAACAGGGCAGCUCGGUGUUACUCCCUCCGGCUCUCUCUCUCUGGCCUCUUAAUUCCACGUGGCCCAAGUCUCUUGAAGUGCAGCCUGAGCUCUGCUUCCUUCGGCCUUCCUGUCCCUCGUUCUUGUUGGUGGCAUCCCUGUCCGCCCGAUGGCCCUCAGCGAAGGCGAGGCAGCUUCCCUGGACGCCCCGUCCUCGCGGCUGUCCUCUGCAGCCCGUGGGUCGUCAGAAACGCUGACGUGGACAGUUGGGGGUGUUGCACAGUCAGUAGGACCUGGGCUCCUUGGAACUUGUCACUGCCGUCCUCAUCUUGGGGCUUCGACGUCGCGGUCCAAGAUGACCUUUGGCGUUCCAGCCAUCAUAGGCGUUCCAGCCACCAGGAUGGGCGAAGGCGCAAAAGAGGCGUGCCCCCUUUUAGACACUUUGUGGUCGUUGAGCCGGAUGGGCCAGAAACAGCUGUGUGGCCACCCCUGAUUGCAGGGCAGGCAGGAAAAAGUUCUAUUUCUGUUGACCGUGUACCCAGCUAAAAGCCUACCGUCCCUGGGGUCAAAACGACCACCCGUUGGCGUCCGUCGUGUUCUCUGCCGCAGCCUCCCGCACGCUUCCGGUGGGAUCUCCCGCUGCCCCCGCUCACGGUCAGCCCCCUGUAGACGGCACAGCGCCCGGCAGUGUCACCCCGUGUUUACUGGUCCGUGAUGGCUGAGAUUAGGGCCGUCAUAGAAGUCCUGCUUCGUCCCUCAGGCUGAGGACUCUCACAAGAAGAGCACACGUUUAAAACACAACUUCACAAAGAAUUUGGGUAAUUCAAGGGCAAGAUAUAGAAACACUCAUUAAGGGGAACUAGGAUGGCUUGGUGAUAUGCCAGAGGGCAUUAUGGUUGGUGGUUUUGCUCUAAAUACCCAUUUCUACCUCUGAACAGAAGCUAAAAGUAGUGUUUUUGAGGGUUUUUUUUUUUCCUUUGGAAAUGCAAUUUACUUUGACAUUUCAAGCAAAAUGAAGG